UACGGAGGGUGCAAGCGUUAUCCGGAUUUACUGGGUUUAAAGGGUGCGUAGGUGGGUAGGUAAGUCAGUGGUGAAAUCUUCGAGCUUAACUCGGAAACUGCCAUUGAUACUAUUUAUCUUGAAUACUCUGGAGGUAAGCGGAAUAUGUCAUGUAGCGGUGAAAUGCUUAGAUAUGACAUAGAACACCAAUUGCGAAGGCAGCUUACUACAUAGUUAUUGACACUGAGGCACGAAAGCGUGGGGAUCAAACAGA
rnacentral:rRNA from 1 species